AGGGGUGUAGUUCAAUUGGUAGAGCAACGGUCUCCAAAACCGUAAGUUGGGGGUUCGAGUCCCUCCGCCCCUGCCA
rnacentral:tRNA from 1 species